rnacentral:rRNA from 1 species
AUUGAACGCUGGCGGAAUGCUUUACACAUGCAAGUCGAACGGUAGAGGGGGCAACCCCUCGAGAGUGGCGAACGGGCGAGUAAUAUAUCGGAACGUGCCCAGUCGUGGGGGAUAACGUAGCGAAAGUUACGCUAAUACCGCAUACGAUCUAAGGAUGAAAGCGGGGGAUCGCAAGACCUCGCGCGAUUGGAGCGGCCGAUAUAAGAUUAGGUAGUUGGAGGGGUAAAGGCUCACCAAGCCAACGAUCUGUAGCUGGUCUGAGAGGACGACCAGCCACACUGGAACUGAGACACGGUCCAGACUCCUACGGGAGGCAGCAGUGGGGAAUUUUGGACAAUGGACGCAAGUCUGAUCCAGCCAUUCCGCGUGCAGGAUGAAGGCCCUCGGGUUGUAAACUGCUUUUGUACGGAACGAAAAGGUCUCUCUUAAUACGGGGGGCUCAUGACGGUACCGUAAGAAUAAGCACCGGCUAACUACGUGCCAGCAGCCGCCGUAA